UACGUAGGGUGCAAGCGUUAAUCGGAAUUACUGGGCGUAAAGCGUGCGCAGGCGGUUUUGUAAGUCUGUCGUGAAAUCCCCGGGCUCAACCUGGGAAUUGCGAUGGAGACUGCAAGGCUAGAAUCUGGCAGAGGGGGUAGAAUUCCACGUGUAGCAGUGAAAUGCGUAGAGAUGUGGAGGAACACCGAUGCGAAGGCAGCCCCCUGGGUCAAGAUUGACGCUCAUGCACGAAAGCGUGGGGAGCAAACAGG
rnacentral:rRNA from 1 species